rnacentral:rRNA from 1 species
ACGCUCGACACCUACGGGAGGCAGCAGUGGGGAAUAUUGGGCAAUGGGCGCAAGCCUGACCCAGCAACGCCGCGUGAAGGAAGAAGGCUUUCGGGUUGUAAACUUCUUUUAUCAGGGACGAAAUAAAUGACGGUACCUGAUGAAUAAGCCACGGCUAACUACGUGCCGCAGCCGCGGUAAGUACUGAGGCGGGCGUGGCAAGGACG